rnacentral:rRNA from 1 species
AACGAACGCUGGCGGCAGGCCUAACACAUGCAAGUCGAACGCCCUAGCAAUAGGGAGUGGCAGACGGGUGAGUAACACGUGGGAACCUUCCCUAUAGUAUGGAAUAGCCCAGGGAAACUUGGAGUAAUACCGUAUACGCCCGAGAGGGGAAAGAUUUAUCGCUAUAGGAUGGGCCCGCGUAGGAUUAGCUAGUUGGUGAGGUAAUGGCUCACCAAGGCGACGAUCCUUAGCUGGUCUGAGAGGACGACCAGCCACACUGGGACUGAGACACGGCCCAGACUCCUACGGGAGGCAGCAGUGGGGAAUAUUGGACAAUGGGCGCAAGCCUGAUCCAGCCAUGCCGCGUGAGUGAAGAAGGCCCUCGGGUUGUAAAAGCUCUUUUGUCCGGAAAGAAAAGCGCCGGGUUAAUACCCUGGUGUCCUGACGGUACCGGAAGAAUAAAGCACCGGCUAACUUCGUG